UCUAAAAGUUAUCGUGAUAAUAACAAAGCUGUAAUAUUUUGGUUUAUUGCUUGAUUUUAAAACUAGGUAUUUGACUUAUCAUGAGAGUGAGUUGUUUUAUUUAAUAGCAAUUAAUUCUACGCAAAGUAGCUCGUUAUGCUCGUUUAUAUCGACGACUUAAGCUUUUCUUCAUGAGAAUAUCUUCUGUGUCUAAGACUAUCGCAUGGCGUAUUUUGUUAUAAAAGCUAUAAAAACCAUUCACUUGUGUUGACGAAUUCCUUGCUAGCAGAAAGAACACGGUUUACAACAAAAAGCGAACACAACCACUAGGCGACAAACAUAAAGCGACCAAAAAAACACUGCCAAGGUGAGUUUUUGACGAUGAUUUGUAUUGGAAAUAUGACAUUUUUUUUCAUUUAUUAUUGUGCUUUUAUAAUGCAUGUUUGUUCGCUAUUUUCCCAAAACCAAUGGCUCAAACUAAAACACCGUACCAGCUUUAGUAUGACGUCAAGACGACAUAUCAAUGUCAGCUAUCCUUGUUUUGAUUGGCUAAAAUACCAUCUACUUGAAUUCCGGUUGGCUUAUAAUUUUGGCACUUGAAUGGCUUUUAUUCAACUGACAAUCGCCAUGAAAAUGUUAAAACUUAACUUCGUAAAUACUUAUACAAGUUCUAUAAAUUCAGGCGUAUAUUCCUCACGGUAAAACCAACCAAGGACUACCUGAGGGUCGUGAUUGAUGCUAAAGGCUGGAAGGCAUAAGAAUAGGCAAAUGUAGCCGGGAUUUUUUUUUUACUUUGAUACAGCAGUAUAAGUGUAAUAGGGUUUUUAGUGCAAGAUGCUUUGUGUCAAUGAUACUGUAAAUCUGUAAAACAUUUUUUAUCAACC